rnacentral:lncRNA from 1 species
CUGAAAGGGAAGCAUCUCCUCGGUAACAGUUUUUAAGGCUCCGUGGUGUAUGCCCUGUACCAAAGAGGACUGCCCGCUGGGUAGUGUGUGUGUGUGUGUGUGUACCUGUGGCAUAAUUCUUGGGACACGGUUUGCCAGCGUCGAGUCUGUUUAGCUCCGCAAAUGUGUUUUUGGCUACACUGCUGUUCAGUGGGAGCGAGCCCUCACCUGACCAGGGCAGCUUGGCCGCGGAACCUUCCUUCUCCCCGCCCCCACCUCCAAGAGCUGUUCCAAACGCUGGGAAAAAAUGUGGGCCAUCUGUAGCUGCAGAUGGGGAUUUGUGGACGGUGUACAAGCUGCAGUCAUGGAAUCAGCAGAGAUGCCCAAAAUAUGCCAUCCCAGUUGACCAGUCAGAAUGGUGAGGAGGACAGCAUCGUGUUCGGCUGCUCGGUCUCGCGCACGUGCCCUGGUGCGCGGGCACCUCGCGGGGUCACAGCCUCGUUUCCAUUCCUCCUUCUCUGCUGUGCCACUGCCCUCAGCGUCCACGGUCUGAGUCCAGGCGCGGGGGCAGUGCCCCUGCACGGCCAGCUGACGCAGCACACUGCCGGUGUCGUUUCCUCCCGCUUGAUUGUUCCUGCACAAAACAGGUCGUGGGCGGGAGAUCCUCCGGCGCGUCCGAGGCAGUGAGUGCUGUGCACAGUGGCUUCUGUGGCCCGAGUAUGCUGGCGAAGUGACUUUUUUCUUAUGCAUCAUCCUUGCGUUCUUCUCACGUGCAGCCUCGAACAUACAUCAUCUUGCCACGUCAAGCUUAAAAUCCCCCCGAGGUGAACAGAUGAGACUGAAUCUGCUGCGGAGGCCGCGGGCGACAGGCAGAGAGCAGCAGCAGGCCACGGGGCCACUGAAGGCAACGCGUGUAUCUGGGAAGCCAGGAGCCGUUUCUCUCAGACCUAGACUCGUAUCUGCCUCUAAGGUUUGACAGAUUCAUAUACUGCAUGUAAGACGGGUUAUAAUGAUGUCGAGUGUGGGCCAGUUUGUGCCCAUGAAUCUGGAGAAUGAUCCAGAAGAGACGACCGGUGUGAAGAAAAGAAGCCGCGGCCAUGGUCUCUCAGGUCUUUAUGUGAGCGUGCCAGGCUCCCGGAGCCCGGCGGGGCAUUUUAACUGGGAGAAAGGUGUGCUGUGUUUCACAGGGCUUGGCAGGAAUGGGCUAGCAGAAGCUCAGCCAGUUUCUAGCACACGUGGUUAAGGACAGUUCUCAAAGGAGGGAGAAUUUUUUCAGUGGAUGAGUAACGAUGACUGAGCAGUUUGGGUUUCAUCAAGAGGGCUGGGAAGGAAGAGCCAGGGGCGAGGAGGCGCCUGUGCAGGAGGGUGAGGAGCCACAGCCGUAGGGACAAGGAUAUGCGAGGGCCACUGUGGGAAACUGGCAGCCCUACAGCAUCUGUCCCACGUUAUGCAAUUAAACAGCUGGCGGGUGCUUUCUUUCAAGAAAGGGAAGUUAGGCUAACGAAGACCAGGCUUCUGUGGGUUUGUGUGGACUAAGACAUGCCCAUCUUGAAGUGGCAUCUGAACCAGGCAUUUUGGGGGCACAGUGGCUGUGGCCAUGCCAGGUGGGAACACUUCCUCCCCACUCCUAUCUCGAGGAAGGAGCUUGAUCAGAGGAUCUGUGGAUCUGUGCUGUCUCUCUUUGCCCCUGGAGAGGGAGAGCCAGACUCGAAAGGUGAGCUGGGAGGAAAAGCAGACAGUGCCCUUUCCCCGCCCCCCCCCCGCCCCCGCACACCAGACCAUCACAGCCGGUGCAAUCCGGUCAGCUCCCCUCGCUUGGCAGUGAACGUGGCGGCGUAGCUCUGCGCUGUGCUGGUCCAGGUGCCCACGUCCAGCUGUGUGAUUCUGAUUGAGGGGUACCAGCCAGCUUUGCGGCUGAAAACCUCUGCCGGAUUCUACCAGUAAUGCCGUUGACGUCUGAUUUCCAUCUGUGAAUUAUGUUUCCACUAGUUCCAAACUCAGAAGAAGGGAGGCACGAGGGUUUAAUUAUCUACCUCCCAAAGGUAGGUCAGCAGGCCUGGGGAUUCUUGGGAUAAAUUUCAAAUGAUACAUUUUAAAUAAUACCAUUGGUACAUGGAGAAACUAUAUGUGGGUGUGAUCUGGGCCACUUUCUGAGUUAGUUUCAAACCAGGUAAUAGUGGCACCUUCGUCAUCACGAUUCUUCCUGAAGCACUUAGUGUCUGCCAGGCGGAGGCCUAAGCACCUUCCGUGGGUUGUCUCGGCUCUUAGAGCAAACCCGUUAGGUUUGCAUGACCAUCCGUCCUUUUUCAGGUGAGGUAACGGAGGGCUGGUGAGGCCGAGUAGCACGCUCAGGGUCACACUGCUGUCAGUGGUGGGGAACUGGCAGCCCUACAGCAGGCCGCACGGCUUCUCACACGCACGAGCUCCGCGUCUGUCCUCGGGCUGGGCCCCCUCACGCCCUCACGGUUCCUGGUGACUUGCACAAAUGGCCGCUCUAGGGUCUGGCCUUGAAACCGCUCUCCCUUCCUCCUGAUUCCCUAACACUUCGACUCUCUUUUGCUUUUGUCUUUCUCCGGUUCUGUAUCUGGACCUGGAUGGAUGCCUCUGACCCCAUUCUGGUUUGGUGAUCCUCUGACCUCUGCUGGUCUCUCUUGAUACCUCGGCUUUCCCAUGCAGCGUUUCACUUUGCUCAUUUCUUGACUUUGUGGUCCCACGUUACCGUGGUUGUAAAUAUCGGAUACAACUUCAGUUCCUCCGAACGCGGUCUCUUUCUCUCUCCCUGUGAGAGGAAUAUGAUUCAGAGGGGUUGCAGGUUGGGAUUUAGACAAUAAAAUCUUAUAUAUGCAGUGCUCAUAACAGCCACGCGAGCCCGUGGUCAGAAAAGAAUUAUUCCCCUGGAAGAGCCUUUCGGUAUUUCCUUUCCUGCUGAGCGAUGCCUUUCUGCCUUUUGGAGAAAAGUGCCCAGCAGAGGACCACAAGCCACUGUUACUGCACACGGAAGAGUGGCCGAGGUGAGGCUGAGAUAAUCUGGGCUCGGAGCCAGGUGGUGGGAGAACGGAGAGGACACCAGAAACCCAAGUGCAAGUGUAAGCAGAUUGGGCACUGUGUCAGCGGGGCAGCUUUGCAUGGUAAAUGUGAGGUCGAAGCCAGCAGGGGUACGUGAAGAGGAAGGUGUGGGGAUGUGGGCUGGGCCCCUUCCAAGGACUCUUGAAACCUCAGGCUCACUUUGUCUGAAGGCACAGCACUCUCACCGUGGAGCCUUGACAACCAUCUUCUAGGUACCAGGACUCACUGCGGAGGUUAGUCCAUUUUGCUCACCUGGGAAGUCUGUGUGUCAAGUCUUUAUUAUGUGCAGAGCCCUUGUGGAGAGAAGACGAUGUUCUAGUGAACAAACUUCGUAUCUACAAGGGAAACAGUGAGAUGAGCCGUCCUUGUGGGAAAGGCUGGGAUUGUAGGACUCGCUGGAACAGUAGGGAGGGACAUGCAGCCAGCUGUCCUUGAGAAGUCAAGUUCCGCUUGCUGUGUAGGCCAUGUUAUCUAGUCUUGGCUUUGCAGGAUUAGUGGGAGUUAGCAGAGUCUGGGGGGAGCAGUAAGAGUAUUCCAGGGGACAUGCUAGAGAGCCUGAGGGCAAGAGAGCACAGCUCGCUGAAAAUUACCCACGAUGUGCAGAAGAGCAGACUCUGAGAGUGCGAGGUGGGCAGUACUGGGAAUGACUCUGCAAAGGACAGCAGGGAUCUGGUCAGCAGGGCUCGUAUCUCCUGUGGAGGGUUCUGGAAGCCCCUGAAGGAUUUUGCACAGGAGCAUGACCUGGUCAGGUGUCUGUUUUAGAGAAGUUUCUGUAGCUGCUCCAAGAGCAGAGAGGAGAAAUAGAAACUCAGACACAGGGCAAACCAGUGUGCAGGCUGUUGAACAGUCAAGAUGAGAUGUGACAGUGCUUUGAACGGGCGUGGUAGCUGCGUGAAUAGAGGGUGGGUGGGCUGAGAACGUCCAGAAGGUAUGAUCUUCAGGAUUCCAUUGUUCCUUGGUGCAGGAGUGGAGGGCGAGGGCUGAGGAGGGAUGGACUUGGUGGGUGGUACAGCCAUCGACUGAGAUGACGUGGGAGGAGAAUGGGGCGCUGGGGUCCUCUGAUGACUGUAGGUUUAGCCUGGGCCACGCUGCGCGUGAGGUGCCUGUGGGAUAAGCAAGUGGCCUGUCCAGUGAACGGCUGGAUAUGAGGGUCUGGAAGGUGGAUCUGGCUGGAGAAGGGGGAGUGGGUUCAGUCCAGAGCCUGCAGUGGAGGCCACAGGAGUGGGUGAGCUGGAGAGCUGCUCGUACGGAGGGACCAGACUAACUCGUAGUGCCUUUAGUCAUGAAAAGUGAUGGUGGCGGUUUGAAGAAAGCCUUAAAGUUUUCUGUGCUUUACUGCGAACAAAAGAUGUCUGGACUCAUUCCUUUAUGCAGCUUCAAAAAAUCAGCACAUCCACCAAUUUCCUUUAUUGCCUAUGGAUGGCCGAGGUUGUGUUUUUCAUUUGAAUACUUUGAACAUUCCUGUUCCAGGAAGAAGAACCUUUCAAAUACAAGACAAACUACAGGCUUCUGUGAAUAAUCUUUCUGUUUUACCCUGAUAAAGCAAUGAUUAUUGGGUAUUUAUUGGCUCCACCAUGGGUGCUCAUGUAAGGACACUUAACAGGAUGUAAAUAAUAAAUAGACACACCUGUCAUGGCAACUCACAAUGAAGAUUUGUCAGCAGGGAGCUAGAGAGGCAUGCAGCAGGGCCCUAUUUCUUACCCUCCUGGACGUCCCAGAGGCUAGCCUUGAAGGACAUGUGGAAGUUCCCGGGCCAGGGACUGAACCCACGCCACAGAGGUGACCCAAGCCACUACAGUGACACCACCAGAUCCCUAGCCUGCUGUGCCGCAAGGGAACUCCAUUUUGUUAGGGUUUUGACAAAAGAUGUAUCUUACAUUUUCUACCAGCUAUGUUGGGAGUGGUUCCCAGACAGGUGGAAGGUACUUCCACGAGUGUGUGUGUGAGGUCAAGGACGAGAGUGUGUGUGUGAGGUCACAGAGGACCAGCGUUGAGGGAGGAAGGGGGACAGAUGGGAAGGAUUCAUCAUAAAGAUCAGGUGGCAGGAGGACACGGCGGGCUUUCCCAUGGUUCGGUUCCCGGUGCCUCUGCUGCCCUGGGGGGCGGCUGCUGGGGUCGUGGCCCCUCUCCCAGGAGGGUUCCCAGGGGCGGCGCUGCGGAGGCUGCAGGACCACGGCUGCUGCUAGACUCCUGCCUGGGAAGGGGACUGGGGCUGGGACACAGACGCAGGUUCGAUUCCUGGCCUCGCUCAGUGGGUUAAGGAUCCUGCAUUGUUGUGAGCUGUGGUGUGGGUCACAGACGCGGCUCAGUUGCGGUGGCUGUGACGUAGGCCGGCAGCUGCAGCUCCG